UAGUCCUCAAACCCACCAAUUUGGUAACAUGACCACCAUUAAAGGGGUAUUUACAUCUAAGCAUUCACCGGACCAAAUAAAACUCAUGUUUUUGCUCAACGAGGCCAUCUCCUCUCCAUUUAGUGUUUCACAUUUGGGUUCCAUCAGAAGAGCAGAUGUUACCGUUUAAUUGAGAUCUUUUUCAGUGCAAUUGGUCGGCCUAGCCCCAGAUCAAUGCCUCGUAACUUUAAAUUCUGGCCCAGCGAGGCCUGCUUGAAAUCCAUUUGAAAUGCUUGGGUUCCCUCAAAAAUGCACAUCAAGGCCACAAAAUCAGAUCAGAAUUUCUUCUCUUGGAGGCUGCUUCUAGGGUCGAGGACAAUUUCUUGUUUCCUGGGACAUAGAGGGCUUCAAAGAAGUUGUCCUCCCUCCAGGCCAGGGCGAGGGGCACCACCGUUCCACACGGUUGAUAAAGAGUAGAUUUUCUCUUUUGUGGUCUCCAAAGAUUCAAAAAUAAAGAUUGGUUCAAGCAGACCCGGUAGUCAUAUAAAAAGCUCAAAAUGCUCACUGUCAUAGCUGAAUAUGUGUUAAUUUGGCCUCACUGCUAUUCCAGUUGUAAAGAUUUUUCUUUUAUGUCAAGAAAAGAAGUAGCCUUAUUUUUUAACCACUCCUGUGUUACCAUCUCUGUGUUUUGUUGUGUGUGUUGUUUAAGCAAUUGUGAGAUACUUUUGUGAGCCACCAUAUUUGAAA